rnacentral:rRNA from 1 species
CCUACGGGUGGCAGCAGUGGGGAAUAUUGCACAAUGGGGGAAACCCUGAUGCAGCGACGCCGCGUGAGCGAUGAAGUCUUUCGGUAUGUAAAGCUCUAUUAGCAGGGAAGAAAAUGACGGUACCUGACUUAGAUGCCCCGGCUAACUACGGGCCAGCAGCCGCGGUAAUACGCAGGGGGCAAGCGUUAUCCGGAUUUACUGGGUGUAAAGGGGGCGUAGACGGCGGUGCAAGCCAGAUGUGAAAGCCCGGGGCUCAACCCCGGGACUGCAUUUGGAACUGUGCUACUAGAGUGUCGGAGAGGCAGGCGGAAUUCCUAGUGUAGCGGUGAAAUGCGUAGAUAUUAGGAAGAACACCAGUGGCGAAGGCGGACUGCUGGACGAUGACUGACGUUGAGGCGCGAAAGCGUGGGGAGCAAACAGGAUUAGAUACCCGUGUAGUC